GAGGAGGAAGAGUAGAUCCAAGAUAACAGGCUCCAGGCAGAACUAUAGGAAGCUGGCCGAUUUGCCUUGAGUGGGAGUUGGCAGCCCUGACCAGGAAGCACAGCCCAGACCAUCCCAUGUAAACCACAAUGAAUGGGAUUUAGAGGUACUUCAUUCUUUGGCACGUCAUAGACUGAAAUGGCAGCAUCAAAAGCACAGGAAAGGCCUGGACUUCUUUACAAAGGAAAUGCUGAGGAUAUCUGAUACUUAAGCAUUCAGAUAUGUGUAAAGCAUGCUCUAUCUCAAC
rnacentral:lncRNA from 11 species